GAUGAACGCUAGCGGGAGGCUUAACACAUGCAAGUCGAGGGGCAGCAUAGGGUAGCAAUACUCUGAUGGCGACCGGCAAACGGGUGAGUAACGCGUAUGCAACCUACCCUGUACAGGGGGAUAACCCGGAGAAAUUCGGACUAAUAUCCCGUAAUAAUAUCCGGAGGCAUCUUUGGAUAUUUAAAGUUUCGACGGUACGGGAUGGGCAUGCGUAACAUUAGCUGGUUGGUAAGGUAACGGCUUACCAAGGCUAUGAUGUUUAGGGGUCCUGAGAGGGUGGUCCCCCACACUGGUACUGAGACACGGACCAGACUCCUACGGGAGGCAGCAGUGAGGAAUAUUGGUCAAUGGGCGCAAGCCUGACCAAAAGCCAUCCCGCGUGCAGGAAGACGGCCCUAUGGGUUGUAAACUGCUUUUCCAGGGAGAGAAACUUACGCACGUGUUGCGUGACUGACGGUACCCUGGGAAUAAGCAUCGGCUAACUCCGUG
rnacentral:rRNA from 1 species